GAGAGAGUUCAAGAGUACGUGAAACUGCUCCGAGGGAAACGGGUGGGCCCUCGAAGUCCGGCGGCGGGAGGAUUCAGUCGGACCCUUCGGACGACGGCCGUGUGCGCGCAGCUCCGUGCCCCACAGGGACGGAGGACGCGCCGAUCGGAGACGUCGCUUUCGGGGGGUCCGGCGCAUUUCUUUCCCGUCCUGAGGACGCCGCCACCGGUCGGGUGCCACAGCGGCCGUGAGGACGAGAGCCGGCAGGGGACCGGAGGCAGGCCUCGCGCCGGCCUCCGGUCUUUGGCCUUCUCGUCCGGGCUCGCCACCCGACCGAACGGAAAGAGGCCCCCGAGUGGGCCUCGCCGCUUCCUUUCCGCCCUGCGGGAGCGGACGCCGCGGCAGGAGCGCCCCGUUCCUCCGUCGCCCGGGAAGAACCCGGGGACAGGUUUGGAGCGCGAGAGGAGCUUCGUUGGCCGCGACUUACCAUUCCGCGGGAAGGACGGAGCGGUGGGCGGCAAGUAGGUCGGUCCCCCACCCGACCCGCCUUGAAACACGGACCAAGGAGUCUAACAUGCGUGCAAUUCGAUGGGUCUCGAACAAGCCCAAAGGCGGAGCGAAAGCAAAGGCGGCAAGAAGCCCCGCAGCCGGAAUCCCUCUCCCUWCCGAGGAGGGGGCGCACCGACGGCCCGUCCGGAAUCGCCUCGCGCGGUCCGGGCGGCGUUCGAGCACGCACGUUGGGACCCGAAAGAUGGUGAACUAUGCCUGGGCAGGACGAGGCCGGAGGAAACUCCGGUGGAGGUCCGCCGC
rnacentral:rRNA from 1 species